rnacentral:rRNA from 1 species
CUUAAGAGUUAGGUAAAUCCGGCUCUUUCUAAGGCUGAGACACGACGUCGAGCACCUACGGGUGUGAAGUCAUUGAUGCCAUGCUUCCAGGAAAAGCCUCUAAGCUUCAGAUUGUAAGGAAUCGUACCCCAAACCGACACAGGUGGUCGGGUAGAGAAUACCAAGGCGCUUGAGAGAACUCGGGUGAAGGAACUAGGCAAAAUGGUACCGUAACUUCGGGAGAAGGUACGCUCUUGAUGGUGAAGUCCCUUGCGGAUGGAGCUGACGAGAGUCGCAGAUACCAGGUGGCUGCAACUGUUUAUUAAAAACACAGCACUGUGCAAAAUCGUAAGAUGACGUAUACGGUGUGACGCCUGCCCGGUGCCGGAAGGUUAAUUGAUGGGGUUAGACUUCGGUCGAAGCUCUUGAUCGAAGCCCCGGUAAACGGCGGCCGUAACUAUAACGGUCCUAAGGUAGCGAAAUUCCUUGUCGGGUAAGUUCCGACCUGCACGAAUGGCGUAAUGAUGGCCACGCUGUCUCCACCCGAGACUCAGUGAAAUUGAAAUCGCUGUGAAGAUGCAGUGUACCCGCGGCUAGACGGAAAGACCCCGUGAACCUUUACUACAGCUUGGCACUGAACAUUGACCCUACAUGUGUAGGAUAGGUGGGAGGCUUUGAAGCACGUACGCCAGUAUGUGUGGAGCCGUCCUUGAAAUACCACCCUUGUAGUGUUGAUGUUCUAACGUCGACCCCUUAUCGGGGUUGCGGACAGUGCCUGGUGGGUAGUUUGACUGGGGCGGUCUCCUCCCAAAGAGUAACGGAGGAGCACGAAGGUGGGCUAAUCACGGUUGGACAUCGUGAGGUUAGUGCAAUGGCAUAAGCCCGCUUGACUGCGAGAAUGACAAUUCGAGCAGGUGCGAAAGCAGGUCAUAGUGAUCCGGUGGUUCUGAAUGGAAGGGCCAUCGCUCAACGGAUAAAAGGUACUCCGGGGAUAACAGGCUGAUACCGCCCAAGAGUUCAUAUCGACGGCGGUGUUUGGCACCUCGAUGUCGGCUCAUCACAUCCUGGGGCUGAAGUCGGUCCCAAGGGUAUGGCUGUUCGCCAUUUAAAGUGGUACGCGAGCUGGGUUUAGAACGUCGUGAGACAGUUCGGUCCCUAUCUGCCGUGGGCGUUGGAAGAUUGAAGGGGGCUGCUCCUAGUACGAGAGGACCGGAGUGGACGAACCUCUGGUGUUCGGGUUGUGUCGCCAGACGCAUUGCCCGGUAGCUAAGUUCGGAAUCGAUAACCGCUGAAAGCAUCUAAGCGGGAAGCGAGCCCUGAGAUGAGUCUUCCCUGAUACUUUAAGUAUCCUAAAGGGUUGUCGGAGACUACGACGUUGAUAGGUCAGGUGUGUAAGUGCUGUGAGGCAUUGAGCUAACUGAUACUAAUUGCCCGUGAGGCUUAACCAUACAACACCCAAGGGGUUU